AAUUCAAUUUCACAACUCUUCACUCGUCCAAUAUUGAUUCCUCACGAGAGCACACACAACAGCUCGUCACCAUAAAUUCCUCCAUUGCGUAACUAGCACAUACGUGUCGAAGUUAUUUUUGACCCAAUCGAUUUUGAAAAUUAAGUAUCCAUAGUGACCUUUUUCAUCUAUUCAAUUGUUUUUCUCUCGCCCUUUUCACACAAAUUUUCACCCAAUCUUCCCCGUAUAAACCCUAAAUCUCCAUUGAAAUCGCGGCUGCCAGCAUCGGGACAUAGUGGGGGACGGAGAAACUUUCUCCAAUUCCAAUCAAUCACCGGUAAGCAAUUGCAAGGAACAAGAUGACCCUAACCGUUAUUAUACCUUCAUCUCUAUCGCCAUUCGAGGAAUCGGUCACUGGAAAUUGCAAGAAUUUGAGGGGCGUCUUGGUAAAAUUAGAAGAAGAGGGAGGAGAGCAGUUUUCAUCUACAAGGAUGGAAUGGGUUGGGAGAAUAAGAGAAAACCAGUGGGAAGAAAGGAGAGAGAAGAGAGGUUGCAGUCGAUUGUGCCUCGCCUGCACGAAGUGGCACUUGAUUGUUAAUCAAAAUUAUUGGAUCUAAAACACAGUCACUAGAAAUGCAAUUUUUAGAAUGGGUAAUGAAAAGCCAUCAAAAUAUGAGGAAAAGGGCUUCUACAAAUAAGCUAUUGUAUAUGCUCUCACCUAUAAUCGAGUCCUUGCACAUCAUUGUUGUCAUUCACCUAUCGUUUCAGCUGCCGUUGUCGCCUCCUCCAACAGCGUCGUCUCUAACUUUCAUUGGUGUCAUCUUCCACUAACCAUGCUGCGACUGCCGUCAUCUUUUCCGGUGUCUCACUCAAGUUCAAGUAAGUCGAAAUUCCUCUCCCUUUUCCUGGAACUUGUGUCCUCUCCUCCCUUCCCUUGGUAGCUCCAUAGGACUGUUGAUUCUUCCUCUUCCUCUAUAUUUCAUCGUUGUCUGAAAUUCUCAUUUACUCCCCAUCCUUGGCUCUGUCUACUCUUGUUCUUAUAAUUUACUGCUACAAGUUCUUUUAAUAAUGCAUAUAUAUGUGCGUUGUUUUAAUUUAAUAGAACAAUUAUAUAUAUAAAUAUAUAUACACCUAUGUGUGUGCGUAUAAUUUCAUGGUGCCAAGUGCGGCAUGAACGGGAGAUUCCUUUUUGAAAUUAAUUCUAUUAAUGGAAUGGAGUUUUAAUUCCUUCUAUGGGAAAAUAAUUCAUUGUAAGUAGUAAUGAAUUGUUGCUUAAUAAUAUGUUGUGGAAAUUAGCAAGAAAUGCAUCAAAUUAUGUUUUCAUUUAUGCAAGUUCCAAAUUUUUCUUGAAUCGUAACUUGUUUCUUGUUAUAUAAAGGUCCUCACUUGUAAGUAAGAUAAAUAAUGCAAAAUUAUAGUUUGAUUUUAAAUUACAAGUUUCAUUUCUUCUUGAUCAUGUAAAUAUUUUUUUACUUUGUCGAGAUUGGGUUUGUGUUCAGUCCACUUUGUCAUUUUGCAUAUUGAUUGAAGUCCGAUGAUGACCAUCAUACCUAGAGCACACAUAAUGGUUUAUGGAGGAAAGAACCUCUACAAAUACGUGUUUAAAACCUAAUGAAAUGGAAAGUCAUUCCUUUGUUUCUUUGGUGUGCAUUACUAGUAGGUUUUAUAGUCUGGAAUAGAAGGGAGACCUGUGAAAUAUUGAUUUUUUUAUUUGUUUUGAGGUAGGUAGGAAUUAUACUCUAGAUGGGGAUGAAUUUUAUAUGUUGGUUGAAAAUUAUUAGGUAAUUCAUUAAUGGUGAGUUUGUCAGGGGAUACUAUUCUUUAUGCUUAGGUUCAUAAGUUGGGGUUGUUGGCCUUUUUCUUCUUUUCUUUAUAGUUCUGAUUGGUUUAUGUUUGAUUAUGUACUUUUUGUAAUUCAAUAUUUCAGUCUUGUCAAUUUCAUAUGGAUUCAUAAGUUAUGCCCCUCCGGCUCAUCCUCACAUAGCGCUAGCAUUUCCAAUAUGAAGCCUUUAAACUGAUGUGUUUGAUUGGCUUCAAAGCCUAUGCAACUUUGUAAUUCAAGCAAACUAAACAAUAAGUUUAUGAUAGACACAAAUCUUUAAUUUCUAUUGUUGAUAUUCAACGUCAAAUGGAACAUGGUUAUUAAAAUAUGUACGGCCCUGCUACCAUGAUGGAACUCUAGAUUAUGAAUUGUCACUGGAAUGCUUGUGACGUAGUUCUUCAUGUUUUUAAACCAUCAAGAUUUAAAGAAAAAAAAAUGGAAGAAUUUGUCUUGUCACUAUUUUAAUCUCAGACAUUCUAUAUUUUGUUCUUUCUCUUCCUGCUAUUUGUUAUAUGGGCAAGAUUUCCCUGUUUUUCUAACAAUGACAAGUUGAGAACUAUUCAUGCAUAGUAUUUUUAUUUUUAUUUUUUUUGUCUAAAAAAUUCACAGGAAGCGAACUGCUUAGAUAAAUGGGAUAAGUUUAGCUUCCGUAGGUUCUUAGGAAACCAAUCAUAAUAAUUACAAUAGCCCAAACUACUUGAUGUGUAAAGCUAUUUAAAUACAAGGUCUCUUAUAAUACAAAGCUACAAACCAUUUCAGAAUAUGAUUCCCAAACUACGAGAACACAAUGUGUUCUUUUUUCAUUUAAUUUAUGCAUUUUUCCUAAAUUUACUUACCCUGCAUUAACUUUUUCUCGUUAGUUUCAACUUCAGACUCUAGAGUCAUGGAUUCACCUCAUUGUGUUUUAGCACAUAUUUAUGUUAGACAGAAAUUAAUUGACUGGUGCAACAUUUUGGGCACUAUAGAAUUAAGCUCUUAUAAUAACUUUAUUUUAGUUUUGUUUGAUCAGUUGUAGAUUACCUUAUUAUUUUCAAAUGUGACAAGAGAAAAUAUGGUGCAAAAAAAUACGUUUAAAAAAAUUAAUAUAUCAAAUGAAGGCCUUUUGAGAAAACAUGAACAAUCUCAAUUCGUGAUCAUAUUUGAAGGAUAUAUAUCAUGAUAUAAUGUUACUUAUCUUACAAUUGAAAUAUUUUUUCAAUAUGAUCCUCUAAACUAUUUUGAGAUGAUCUCAUUGACCAAUGUAAACAUAUCAUAAAGAAAUUUUGUAUUGCGUGACAAUAUUUCAUCUGGUAUUUUAUUUCUCAAGUAAGCUAGUUUAAAUGAUUUGCUGAGCUAAUUUUUAUAGUUGACCAUGUGAAUCAUUUAAUUCAAAGUUGCAUCAAUUAUGGUGGAUUCUUGCAUUGUAGGUGUUUUUAGUGAAUUUUAUACAACAUAUGGAAGUUAAAGGGGCUCACGUAUUAUUUUGUCUGUAUGAUAUUAUUUCUUUUUAUUUUAUUUAUAGACUUAUCCCCCACCCCCAAUUCACUUCCCCAAUUUUAACUCUCUUUAGUAACUAAUCUUUUUGUCUCUAGUUAUGGGUUCCAAUAAAGAGCCUUUCUUGCUAAAUCCUUCUAGCUUUGUCUUUUUGCAUAUUAGUGGUGCUUUGGUAUGGCACAUUUUUCAUGCUUGUGCAAUAUUUACUCACUUUUCAUGCAUUAUUUGGAUUACAGUAACUUGUAUAAAGUGAAAACAUUCCCAAAGUGUUGUGUCAAAGUAUCAUUGACUAUUUUGAGUUUGCCUUUGGGUGUGCAAGAGUGCAUUACUUGCUAUAUAUGUUUCACUUUAGUUAAAGAAAAUCCACUCCCUUUUCCUUCUCAUUUAAUUUGUUGUCUUUGAUAUAAUUUUAUCUAUCUAUGUAAUACUUGAUUCCAUUAGCACUUGAUUUACUUUACUUUCAGUUUAUUAUAUACCCAACUGUGGAUUAUUAUAAUGUCGAAGAAAUUGUACUUGAAAGGUCAAUCAAUCCCAAUCCAGGUGAAUAAAUUUGAGUUCAAAUUCAAAUUCUACUCUAAUAUGGUUCGUUUUAUAGUACAUAUACAUACAAAUAUGCAUUUUGAAUUCUACUAAAUUAUGUUGCAUGCUUGCUUAAUUAUUGAUGGAUAUGGAUGGAGUGAUUAUUUGUUUGUUGUGUUUUGUUUCAUUAUAUUUGUGUCUUAACGUUGUUUUUGGUAUGUAGUCUUCUUGUCUUUGUUUUUGUUGGCUUA